AAAAAAAAACUGAUAAAAACAAAAAACAUAUUCAGGUAACAGAGACCCAAUGCUCAGCAUUCGGUUGCGUGCGUAUCAACACCUUCGAAAGUAAAAUGGUGAAAAUAAAAAGAAAAUAGCAAUACACAAGUUAUCCAACGAUGCAAAUAAUGACUUAAAAAGCAGAAAUUAACAAGAAAAGUAACUAAAAGGAUGAAUGGAA
rnacentral:misc_RNA from 1 species